rnacentral:rRNA from 1 species
AGGACGAACGCUGGCGGCGUGCCUAACACAUGCAAGUCGAGCGAGGAGAUCCUCGGGAUGAUCCUAGCGGCGGACGGGUGAGUAACACGUGGGGCAACCUGCCUCAUAGAGAGGAAUAGCCUUCCGAAAGGGAGAUUAAUACCUCAUAACAUUGCAGUUUCGCAUGGAACAGCAAUUAAAGGAGUAAUCCGCUAUGAGAUGGGGCCCGCGGCGCAUUAGCUAGUUGGUGAGGUAACGGCUCACCAAGGCGACGAUGCGUAGCCGACCUGAGAGGGUGAUCGGCCACAUUGGGACUGAGACACGGCCCAGACUCCUACGGGAGGCAGCAGUGGGGAAUAUUGCACAAUGGGGGGAAACCCUGAUGCAAGCAACGCCGCGUGAGUGAUGACGGCCUUCGGGUUGUAAAGCUCUGUCUUCAGGGACAAUAAUGACGGUACCUGAGGAGGAAGCCACGGCUAACUACGUGCCAGCCGCUGC